rnacentral:rRNA from 1 species
CCCUAGUAACUGCGAGUGAAGCGGGAAAAGCUCAAAUUUAAAAUCUGGCAGUAUUUAACUGUCCGAAUUGUAACCUAGAGAAGUAUUGCCCGUGCUGGACCAUGUAUAAGUCUCCUGGGAUGGAGCGUCACAGAGGGUGAGAAUCCCGUGUUUGACAUGGACUACCCAGUACAUUGUGGUAUGCUCUCAAAGAGUUGAGUUGUUUGGGAAUGCAGCUCUAAAUGGGUGGUAAAUUCCAUCUAAAGCUAAAUAUAGGCGAGAGACCGAUAGCGAACAAGUACCGUGAGGGAAAGAUGAAAAGAACUUUGGAAAGAGAGUUAAACAGUAUGUGAAAUUGUUGAAAGGGAAACGCUUGAAGUCAGUCAUGUUGAUCAGGGAUCAAGUCAGUUUAUUUGCUGGCUGUACUUCCUGGUCAAUGGGUCAACAUGAGUUUUGACUGCUAGAGAAAGGCAAUGGGAAUGUAGGAUCCUUUUGGGAUGUGUUUAUAGCCCUAUGUCAUAUAUAGCAGUUGGGACUGAGGAUAGCAGCGCGCCGCAAAGGCAGGGUUUCGACCACGUUCGCGCUUAGGAUGUUGGCAAUAAUGGCUUUAAGCGACCCGUCUUGAAACACGGACCAAGGAGUCUAACAUGCGUGCGAGUGUUUGGGUGGAAAACCCUUUCGCGUAAUGAAAGUGAAAGUUGAGAACCCUUUUAGGAGGGAGCAUCGACGCCCGGACCAGAACUUUUGGGACGGAUCUGCGGUAGAGCAAGCAUGUUGGGACCCGAAAGAUGGUGAACUAUGCCUGAAUAGGGCGAAGCCAGAGGAAACUCUGGUGGAGGCUCGUAGCGAUUCUGACGUGCAAAUCGAUCGUCGAAUUUGGGUAUAGGG